rnacentral:rRNA from 1 species
UGGGGAAUUUUGGACAAUGGGCGCAAGCCUGAUCCAGCCAUGCCGCGUGAGUGAAGAAGGCCUUCGGGUUGUAAAGCUCUUUCGGACGGGAAGAAAUGGCGGGCUCUAACAUAGCCUGUCGAUGACGGUACCGUAAGAAGAAGCACCGGCUAACUACGUGCCAGCAGCCGCGGUAAUACGUAGGGGGCAAGCGUUGUCCGGCUUUACUGGGUGUAAAGGGCGCGCAGGCGGGAUAAAAAGUCAGUGGUGAAAUCCUACAGCUUAACUGUAGAACUGCCUUUGAUACUUUUAUUCUUGAGUUCGGGAGAGAGAGACGGAAUUCCAGGUGUAGUGGUUAAAUACGUAGAUAUCUGGAAGAACACCAGUUGCGAAGGCGGUCUCUUGGUCCGACACUGACGCUGAGGCGCGAAAGCGUGGGGAGCAAACA